GCAUUAUUGCUGUAUUCUAUUACUCUGGAUUGACUCUGAUAUUGGUUUUUUUCCUCGAAUAGGCAAGGUCGCGAAGGACAUUCGACGCCAUUCUGGAUGUUGGAUCUCUCUGAGAAGCAUGGCUGAGAAGUGAGAAUUUUGUUCAGAUUUUCAAAGACAGUUCCAUAUCUUGAUUAAUGAACACAUUUUGCAAUGUGUAUGCAACUUUGCUUUGAUCUCCUUAAGAACUGGACAUUCAACAUUUUUCUUUGCUGGUCUGCCAUUUUCUUACCUGCUAGUAAUGGUGAUGGAAAUGGCUAGACAAAAGAUGAAAUAUGAUAAUGGUCAGAAGCUGAACAAAUUAGGAGUGGAACGAUGUUCGGAAGGUUACGGCGAACAGGAUGGCUGUGCACUUGCACAGUACGAUGAGUAACCAGUUCACGAAAAGGUUAAGGUAUCUUAAAUGCAUUAGCUGCAAUUCUUUGAUUGGCUAGAAUUGACUACUUGCAUAUCUUCCUUUGAAUCGAAAUGUAGAAAGUUGACAAAUGUUCGAAAUGCAAUACGUUUCAGAGUUGCAUCGCUUGGGUUCAGGAAUUACGUUCCUUUUUAUAGAACCCCUUAGGCCCCUGAAUGUGAAAGGCAUUGGCACCAGCUAACACUGAAAUUUGCAAGCAUGAUUUACCAAUGAAAUGUGGAAUUCCGGGUUUAUCAAGAACUUGUAUCGGGCAGCUAUGGUAUUUUUCGUUAAUUUUCUCCGGUGAUAGUGUAUCCCAUCACAUCUUUCCACUUCAACUUGUACUUGAUUCGUUUCCCGAGUAGAAAAUCGAUUAAGCCGCGUCUUGCCACUAAAUUACUGAACAUGGAAACUGAUAGGCAGCAAUUCAGGUUCACUCAGCUCUUGCCAUAUAGACUAGUAAAUGCAUAAUAAUCUUCAACGUUUAUCCAUGGCCAAAUCUACGGGAUUUGGUUGCUUAUAGAAUCCGAACUCGUCUCGUAACUGACAUGAGAAAGAUUUUCCGCGAUUCCGUCAUUGAAGGGACGAUAUCUUCCUUAGAAUUUGUCACCAUUCGGGAUGAAUCCGGUUUAUUCAAUUGGGUCGUUUUUACAGCUCGCAACGUUGCCUUCAUUUUCUGACUUAACUCAUUGUUGGCCCAUUUCUUGGCUAGAGCUGUCUCAUCCUAAGUAUUUGUUUUUGCUCUUUGUUGUUAAUAAAUAGCAAACAGUCUCGCAUCUUUCAUCGUUCGCCCGUAGUUUUGUCUAGCAGCAUCACGCUCUUCUAAUAGUUUAAUUGGGUCACGUAAUCAGCUCCUUCCUGUUGGCUUUAAUUCAGCACUUAACGCAUCGUCCUGACUGGCUGGGGAACUCAUUGGAAUAACGCUUUGGUAGUUGAGCUGCUCCGUUUUUGGAUUACAGCAUUUUCGUAGGUUUAGGCCGAGUGAUUUUCCGUGUUUAAACUAACCGAUUACCGUUCGUUAACGGUAUAGUAUUUGGGAGAAAAAAAUCGUUUGAAGUUUCAUCCGAUUCGGUCAAUGCUUCGUCGUUCCCAACAAAAGCAUUGGGGUCUUUGCUGAUUUUUACAUCGUUCACUACUUUUUCGUCGACUGAUUGCUCUGGAAUAUAUAUAUCUUUCAGUGGGAUUUGGCACCCUGGUUCUAUCACUAUGUUUACAAAUGCUUGUAGUUCUUGUUUCGCUUUGGUUAAAUCUCUUUGUCCAAGCCAAAUCCAUCCUGUAAUAUAUCAGUUUCCCGAAUACGAGUUCUUAAUUGCGUAAAAACACUUGGGGUGUCAUUUCGAGUCUACACUGCUUUUUAGGAAAUGCAGUAACUUCUGAUUUCUCUCAUCCUUCGGGUCUUCUUUCUUUUGUGCAUGUAUUUCCCUAUUCUGUAGCUCCGAUCCGUUAUGCGCUAAGUUGGUGUUUAUCUUUAUUGUUAGAGGAAAUGGUAUGUAGUAUGUCGUCGAGGAAUUUGACCAAAAGUAUGCAGAAUAUAGCAUAGACUCUUAACUCUCUCUGAGAAACAGCGAAUGAAUUGCGUUCGAAAUUUAUUUAGACUAAACUGUAUUGCUAAUUAACGAAAGAAUUUGUUUGCAGAUGACAGUAAAUUUGUUGCGAUGAAGCUUCACGAUUCACAACUACUCAAGACAUGUCGCGAUGAAAGACUACAUUGAAUGGAAGAAAGAGAUCCAUCAGUGAGACGAGUUGAUUUGGACUAGGUGGAAUAUCUGAAGUCUUCAAGAGUCGCACCGGCAUCCGUGUUUCUCCUUUCGUUCCAGCACAUUUCUAUGUCGGUAGCACGUUGGGCGUAUCAAUGGAAAAAUUAAGAAUGCCGAUCUGAAGAAAACAAAUGUUGCAGAUUCCAUUUGGCAGGAGCUUGGUAUUCAGCGGUGUUUACUUAGUCAAAGUAUAAUACACGACCUUGCUAGAGA